rnacentral:rRNA from 1 species
AUUGAACGCUGGCGGCAGGCCUAACACAUGCAAGUCGAACGAGCGGCGGACGGGUGAGUAAUGUCUGGGCAACUGCCUGAUGGAGGGGGAUAACUACUGGAAACGGUAGCUAAUACCGCAUACCCUCAGAUGUGCCCCGAUGGGAUUAGCUAGUAGGUGGGGUAACGGCUCACCUAGGCGACGAUCCCUAGCUGGUCUGCGAGGAUGACCAGCAAAAGUGGAACGGAGACACGGUCCAGACGCCUACGGGAGGCAGCAGUGGGGAAUAUGGCACAAUGGGCGCAAGCCUGAUGCAGCCAUGCCGCGUGUGUGAAGAAGGCCUUCGGGUUGUAAAACACUUUCAGCGGGGAGGCGUUACCCGCAGAAGAAGCACCGGCUAACUCCGUGCCAGCAGCCGCGGGAAUAC